rnacentral:rRNA from 1 species
CUCUGGGAGGUGACGGGGUACACUGUGGGACCGCCGCUGCUAAAGCGGAGGAAGGAAUGGGCAACGGUAGGUCAGUAUGCCCCGAAUAUCCCGGGCUACACGCGAGCUACAAUGGUUGGUACAAUGGGUAUCUACCCCGAAAGGGGACGGGAAUCUCCUAAAACCAAUCUUAGUUCGGAUUGAGGGCUGCAACUCGCCCUCAUGAAGCUGGAAUCCGUAGUAAUCGUGUCUCAAAAUGGCACGGUGAAUAUGUCCCUGCUCCUU